rnacentral:rRNA from 1 species
GGGUGAGUAACACGUGGGUGAUCUGCCUUGCACUCUGGGAUAAGCUUGGGAAACUGGGUCUAAUACCGGAUAGGAACCGUCUUUAGUGUGGUGGUUGGAAAGUUUUUUCGGUGCAAGAUGAGCUCGCGGCCUAUCAGCUUGUUGGUGGGGUAAUGGCCUACCAAGGCGUCGACGGGUAGCCGGCCUGAGAGGGUGUACGGCCACAUUGGGACUGAGAUACGGCCCAG